UGAGUACGAGAUGCUACGGCAUCGAAGCAGUCUAUGUCAUACUUCCAAGAAAAGCUUGCACUGUCAUAAACAAAGAAUGCCUGUACCAUAACCGACACAGGUGGGUAGGUAGAGUAUACUAAGGGGCGCGAGAUAACUCUCUCUAAGGAACUCGGCAAAAUGACUCCGUAACUUCGGGAGAAGGAGUGCCUUAUUUCUAAGGUUGCAAUAACAAGAUCCAAGCAACUGUUUACCAAAAACACAGGUCUCCGCUAAGUCGUAAGACGAUGUAUGGGGGCUGACGCCUGCCCAGUGCCAGAAGGUUAAAGAAGUUGGUUAGCAUUAGCGAAGCUGAUAACUGAAGCCCUGGUGAACGGCGGCCGUAACGAUAACGGUCCUAAGGUAGCGAAAUUCCUUGUCGGGUAAGUUCCGACCCGCACGAAAGGCGUAAUGAUUUGGAUACUGUCUCGGAGAGGGGCUCGGUGAAAUAGACUUGUCUGUGAAGAUGCGGACUACCUGCACCGGGACAGAAAGACCCUAUGAAGCUUUACUGUAACUUGAGAUUGAAAUUGGACUUUAUUUGCGCAGUAUAGGUGGGAGGCGUUGAGAAUAAUCUUGCGGGAUUGUUGGAGCCAUCAGUGAGAUACCACUCUUGUAAUGUUAGAUUUCUAACUUUGUAUCAUUAUCUGGUCAAAGAACAGUUUCAGGCGGGCAGUUUGACUGGGGCGGUCGCCUCCCAAAGGGUAACGGAGGCGCACAAAGGUUUCCUCUGAACGGGUAGAAAUCGUAUCUAGAGUGUAAAGGCAUAAGGAAGCUUGACUGUGAGACCUACAAGUCGAGCAGGGACGAAAGUCGGUCUUAGUGAUCUGACGGUGCUGAGUGGAAAGGCCGUCACUCAACGGAUAAAAGUUACUCUAGGAUAACAGGCUGAUCUCCCCCAAGAGUUCACAUCGACGGGGAGGUUUGGCACCUCGAUGUCGGCUCAUCGCAUCCUGGGGCGGUAGUCCGUCCCAAGGGUUGGGCUGUUCGCCCAUGAAAGCGGUACGCGAGCUGGGUUCAGAACGUCGUGAGACAGUUCGGUCCAUAUCCGGUGUAGGCGUUAGAAUAUUGAGAGGAGCCUUCUCUAGUACGAGAGGACCGAGAAGGACAUACCUCUGGUGUACCAGUUAUCGUGCCAACGGUAAACGCUGGGUAGCCAUGUAUGGAGUGGAUAACCGCUGAAAGCAUCUAAGUGGGAAGCCCACCUCAAGAUAAG
rnacentral:rRNA from 1 species